CAAUCUCUCUCUCUCUCUCUCUCUCUCUCUCUCUGUCGGUGACUUUUUUAUAAAAUAUUGUUUCAGUCCCUUAAAUGUUGCCCCUUCCGUCUCUCUCCCCCUCCCCUUCCCAAAAACCAGAUCUGUGACCCCCACCGCCCUCUUCAAAAACCAGAUCUCUGACCCCCACCGCGACCCUCACAACCCCCUCCGUUUCCAACCAUCACUGAUGGCCUCUCCUUCUAUCUUUUUCAUGUUAUCUGAACUUUCCUUCACACAUGGAUCUGAUCAAUUUUAUAACUGUAAACUUUUCUUCUGUCAUAUUGCGAUUUCUUCGAUUUGGCUGUAAAUUUGAAAAAAUUGUGUAUCUUUUGUUUGUGAGGUAGAGGUCGUAUUGUUUGGCUGUUAAAACCCUCUGCCAACCUCAUCUCUCAGCUCCUGCAGUUUGCUUCAACAAGGAAUGAAACAAAUAAUAAUAAGCCCAGAAACCUCUAAAGCUAAAGCAUUAGAGAAGGUGGAGGAUAAGUCCAAAGUUGCCAGGGCAUUGAAGGAAAGUGUUCUCCAUCAAAUAUGUGAGGCAAAGCCAUUGGCUCUGAUCAUUGAUUGGAAUUCACUCCUGUCUAACAAAAAGAAGAGAACUGUGAUGUAUUUCUUUGUAUUUUGCUGCUGAGUUAACUGACUAAUUUUUGUUCAAGCUGAUUUACUUAGCAACUUGGAUAAUUACUGCUUACUCAUUUCCUUUGCAAUUUGGGCUUGUUAAUUGUUCUUAUACCCUUUACUAAUAUUUGUGUAUGUUGUUAUUAAUUAUUGCAGGCACAUACUAUACUAGAUUUCCCAACUUUCUUGCUUGUUAGCUCAAUAGAAAAUAGUUGAUUGAGCCUUCAAACAUUUAAAACCAAUUGCAGGUGCUUGGCAUCAAAGGGUGAAAAGUCUGGUGAAUGUGAAAGAUAUUCCAAAUAUUAUCGUUCGCCAUGCCCAGGUGAAUGGGCAAGUAUUUCUUAGCUUAUUUCUUCUGCAAUUAUUUGUCUUGCAAUAAAAUCUGAUUGGAAGUUUAACUUUUUCUGUUAAAACUUUUUCAUAAAUGUAGUAAAUUGUUGGUACUUUACUCAUACGUAGAUUGUCAUUGCAUAAACUGUGACAUGACUGUGUAAGGAUUGCAUAAUCUGAACUUUAACUUGCAGCAUAGCCCUGGCAAAGUUUGCACCAGAAUCACAGGGCACACUGAAUUUUAAGUUUGGAACUUCUUCUGGAGCUGUAUAUUAGCCUGGAGAACUUUUUAGUUAGAAACUUGUAUGUGAUAACAGUACUAUUGGGAUGGAGUGGGUUAUGUAAUGCUGUAUUUGGUUUGAUUUAUAGUACUCAUAGUGACAUUACUAUAAUCUCUAUGGUACAAUGAAUGAAGUUAUUAAUUUUAUUUUCAUCUUUUCUGGGCAUGGUCAAUUCAAUUCCCUGCAAAGCAGGUUAAAAUCCAAUGGAGAUUUGUUAAAUCAUCAUAUUAAUAGAACAGAAAUUGGUAAAUUAGGUUUGAAUGGAGAUGGGAUGUCACGGAUCAAUAUAGGCGUGGAUAAAAGACAUAGAGGUAGGGCCCCUGCAAGAGUCAAACUGAACAGAGCCACAUUCCCAUUUAUAUGUGACAUAUGGGCCAAAAGCAACUGGUCCACAGGGCACUGACAUGAAAAAAAGUGGCUACACCGUUGCUUUGCUCCAUAGACACAGAUAAUUGUUGCCUUUGACCUCUAUACCCACGAAUCAUGCAUGUGGCUGUUGUUCAGAAUCGUGGUGGUGUUAGGAUAAAAACAUUUUGUUAUCUUUUAGGAAAUCUGAUUCCUAUUAGAUAUCAAUUUACUUUUAUUAGUCUUUAUCACACCCUAAUUGUUUUAGGGGGAGUCCACUCUUGAUGCAUAUAUAGGUUUUGCAUUAGGUUGCAUUGGGUUACGCUUUGCAUGAUAGAAAAGUUUCUUUGUUUCAGAAAGGCAAAGCUUGUUUUGAUCACUAAUUCAUAUGUCUAAGUGAAUUAGUGAAUCAAGAAUUCAUUCAUACAUCAUUCAUAUCAUUCUUAUGUCAUGGAAGUCCUACGAGUUCAGUUAGGUUUCAAGCAUAACCAAGAAUUGAAGAUCGACGAGUUGAGACGUGUGAAGCACAACUAGGGGCAAUAAGCAAAUUGAGGUGAAAUAGUUCAACCGGCUAAAAUGCGUGUAGCUAGAGGUAACCAAGAGGUUGUAAGUCUACUUUGUAAUUUGACUACUAUCACAUAGUGUGUUGCUUGAGCACUUGGCCUUCAAGAGAUAAGGCCACGUAGUUGUUUACCUCACUUUGAGGAUUUUUAUUGCGCAAACAUCUUCUGUGUUUCGGUUCUUAUUGUGUAUGUUUGCUUGGUACGUCAAUUCUUAUCUGUUCUUUUCUCAUUGUCCUGCAACUACAAUCUUAUUACAUUAGUGUGAUCAGAAUAGUUUUUUGAGUGUCAUUCCAGUUCUACUACUUUCAAAUUAAACUCCAAGACAAAGUUCAUAAUCUAUAUGUUCUCGUGUAUCAUAACUGUGGGGUGUUGUCUUCAUUUCUAGGAUACAGUAUUAGGAAAUGACAAGUAAAUCAAUUUGACGUCCUUUAAUCCUUCUAGUUAACUGAUGAUUGAUCCAAAUAAACUCGAUCGAUUAUUCAUAAUUUGAUUAAUUCUACAAGCAAUAGUUUUGAAGUUAGACGCAUGAAAUUGUUUGAUAGAAAGUUGUCUGCUGUCAAAAACAUUACUUAAGAGUUAUGCACAUUUCUUAUAUAUGGCCCUUUCUGAAUUUUAGCUUGAAAGUUUGCUUCUUUAGUAUAUCUGACAAAGUUUUUGAGUUCUGGGCUUUCAUAUUUUGGAUUAUUUUCUGGAUGCAUUUUGUAAUUUCAAUCAGCAUAUUUUCCUUUUCAAAAAAAAAAAAAAAUAGAGAGAGAGUUAUAAGUAAACAAUGUCAGGGCAGCAGCUUAACCAAAACACUGUGUUUUUACUUUGUUUUUGGGACGAACUUUGUUUUUUUUUUUUUCUUUUUUUUUUUUUUCCUGUUGGCAUUUAUUCUGUAGUGUGAUCUGUUUUAUCAUUCUUUAUAAUGGAAGCAGAAUUUGAUAGGUAAUUCGUUGAUACGUUAGUGUAAACUACAUAACCUUAUUAUGCUAGCACUUUCUUUGGAUGUAUCCUAUCUUCUGUUUUCCAAACUAUAAGAGGGCUAAGUAUGCUGGUUACUUGGGUCGCAUUACCAAUGAGUACCAGCGCUUCUUUAAGAAACACUUUUACUUAGAAGUGCUUUUUGGAAGCAAUGCAAAUUAAAUGCCAUAGAUCUCCAGAACUAAUGACCUUUGAUAACACUACUGAUGAGCUUUAUGUAAGAAUGCAAGCAAGCAUCAUUAUUCUAGAAAUUUAAAUGAAAAUUGAUCUGUUAUUAAAAACUUGUUAGUUUUGUUUGUAAAGUCUUCUGAAUAUGAAGCUGACAACUAAGCAAAUAUAGUUUCAGACGGUUUAAACGUGCUGGAGAAUCAUAUGUUAAGGUGCCCUUCUUUGGAGCUGUUUCAUAUUUGACACUAGCUGUCGCUCCCUUCUGCAUAGCAUUUGCUGUUGUUUGGGCAGUGUAUCGCCGUGUGUCAUUUGCUUGGAUUGGCCAAGAUAUCCUUGGUAUUGCACUGAUAAUCACCGUUCUUCAGAUUGUUCGCGUACCGAAUCUCAAGGUGAUGAUUCACAAUCAUUUUUCCUUUUCUGAUUUUUGUCGAGCAAAAUGUGAACAUUUUUCUUUUCAUCUAUUAUUGUGCUGCUUACUAUUGAUGAUUAUAUAAGAAAAUUCAAGGUCAUAUCUAUUAAUAUUCUUUUCCUGGGUUUAAUCUGUAAUUCUGUAAACAACAUAUCUAUCACCACCGAUUCAUAACGGCGACCAAUUGUUCUGAGGCCAUUUGUUCUGGUGAGAUCAAGUGACUGGUUUCUCCCUCAGUUUCAAGUAAUUUGUUCACCGGCGACGUUUUCCAAGGUGUGGAGAAGGAGGCGGAGGAGCGGGUUAGGAGGCCGUUUGUUCCGGCGAGAUCGAAGCGUUGGUCCGAUGACGAUUUCUUCUUACGUCGACGGCGGUGGCGUCUCCGACGAAGGCUCCUAAUCUUAAUUACAAGACGAGCUUUUCAUCACCUGGAGCUCUACAAGAUUUAGGUUUUCGGAGUUAUGGAGCAAUUGCUACACCCGAGCCAACGGUGUUGAAAUUUGAAAAUGGAGACUGUUGAUUCAGUGAUUGCUGAUGAUGAGAUAGCAAAGAUCCGGCAUGAAUUUGAUGCCGCAAAGCAGAGUUUCCUCAAGAUUCCACAAGCACUCAAAGAAAUGCUUAAGAUAAAUCUGGAAGGUAUGAUUGGUUGACAAAUAAGACUCUUCGAACGGGUUACUUUGUGUGGGCAAUGACAGCUUAUGGUGCAGGUCUCCUGGUCACCUAUGUGGCUUUGAACUUGAUGGAUGGGCAUGGCCAACCUGCUUUGUUAUACAUAGUUCCAUUCAUACUUGUUACGUUCUGCAGGUACCCUUCUUAACCUUGGGACAGAUGAGAGGUGACCUCAAAGUUCUGUGGACAAGAGGAGAACCAGAGAGGCCUUGCCCGCACGUACGACUCCAAUCCUCUCACUCUCAAUAGAAGAAUCUGGAUAAAGUAAUUGUGUGAUAGUUGGUUAGUAACUCAGAUACUCUUUACAUGUCAAAGCUGUAGGAGACCAUAAUAUAUACGAUUAGAAAGUUGUUACUAAGAUGAUUUUAAAUCACUUGAUAUAAAAACGGGACGUUUACAACAUCCAA